UUGGGUGGGUGCGGGGCCCCGGGCCGGGAGCCCUCCUUCCGUCCCCUCGUAGGCUGCUCGUACUGCCGCCCGCUUACAGAGGGGAAAACCGGGGCGCUCAGCAGACUUCUCCACACUGUUCAAGACCCUGCCCUGGGGAGCCCUCCCUGCUCUGUGGCCACUGCCCAGCCCAGGUCUCACCAUAGCGUCUGGUCCCCAGCAGGCUGAGCCCCCUGAGGCUCAGGAUCAGGUCUGUGCCGACUUUGCAGCCCGGAGACAGUGGAUUCUCAGUAAACGCUUCCUGAGAGCAAAGACAUGAGGGCUGGAACCUGGCUCCCCUGCAUGCAGACUACAUCUGCCAGGUGCGGUGCUAGGAGAGGCAGAGGAGCAACAGCAGCUGAAGGUCGGAGCAGUGGGAUGUCUCCCUGCAAGUGCUGGCGCCCCAAGAUGGUUACGUUUUCACCAGAGCCACCUGCCCACAGAGACCUGGGAUAAUAGAGGCCAAAGGUGGCCCAUCAGCUCAGAAACCUGUAAUUCCGCACAUGCCCGACCAUCCACAGGGACCGGAAGGAGCCGAGCAGACGCCAGCGGAAACCCACAGAUGUUUGCAAUUGACAACAGACCCAUCAGCAGAUGUCCUUAAAGAAUUUGCCGGCACCUGCUGCCUGUUUACCAACGCUCCCCCCGUGAAGUUCACCUUCAGCUCAUGGUGACCACCGCCGCCGCCGCUGGGGCCCCAAGUUAGGGAUGCCUAGCUCAGGUGGCCCCUUGCUCUAGCCCCCAAGGACAGUCACUUGACCUCUCUGAGCCAGAGAUGCUGCAUGUGUGAAGGAGAAGUGGUAACGCUCACCUCCCAGGACGGCGGUGACGAUUCGAAAUGAAAACGUCUAGGGCCCUUGGCGUGGGGUCAGCUCCAGAUCUUUGCAGAUGUCAUCAAAUUAAGGAUCUCGAGGUACCACUUCACACGGGUCAGACUGGCCAUCAUAGAAAGUCUACAAAUGACAAAUGCUGGAGAGAGUGCAGAGAAAGGGGCACCCUCCUGCACUGGUGGGGGAAUCUAAGUUACUGCAACCGCUACGGAGAACAGUAUGGAGAGUCCUCAGAAAACGAAAUAUAAAAUGACCAUAUGAUGCCGCAAUCUCACCCCUGGCUGCAUAUCGGGACAAAACUAAUUAAA